GCCGCAUCAAGUUGAAACACCGGUUGCCGUACGAUCUCUGAAGUUAAGCAAGGUUGAGUCUGGUCAGUAUCUUGAUGGGUGACUGCUUGGGAAUACCAGGUGCUGUAAG